AGAGUUUGAUCCUGGCUCAGAGUGAACGCUGGCGGUAGGCCUAACACAUGCAAGUCGAACGGCAGCACAGAGGAGCUUGCUCCUUGGGUGGCGAGUGGCGGACGGGUGAGGAAUACAUCGGAAUCUACUCUGUCGUGGGGGAUAACGUAGGGAAACUUACGCUAAUACCGCAUACGACCUACGGGUGAAAGCAGGGGAUCUUCGGACCUUGCGCGAUUGAAUGAGCCGAUGUCGGAUUAGCUAGUUGGCGGGGUAAAGGCCCACCAAGGCGACGAUCCGUAGCUGGUCUGAGAGGAUGAUCAGCCACACUGGAACUGAGACACGGUCCAGACUCCUACGGGAGGCAGCAGUGGGGAAUAUUGGACAAUGGGCGCAAGCCUGAUCCAGCCAUACCGCGUGGGUGAAGAAGGCCUUCGGGUUGUAAAGCCCUUUUGUUGGGAAAGAAAUCCAGCUGGCUAAUACCCGGUUGGGAUGACGGUACCCAAAGAAUAAGCACCGGCUAACUUCGUGCCAGCAGCCGCGGUAAUACGAAGGGUGCAAGCGUUACUCGGAAUUACUGGGCGUAAAGCGUGCGUAGGUGGUCGUUUAAGUCCGUUGUGAAAGCCCUGGGCUCAACCUGGGAACUGCAGUGGAUACUGGGCGACUAGAGUGUGGUAGAGGGUAGCGGAAUUCCUGGUGUAGCAGUGAAAUGCGUAGAGAUCAGGAGGAACAUCCAUGGCGAAGGCAGCUACCUGGACCAACACUGACACUGAGGCACGAAAGCGUGGGGAGCAAACAGGAUUAGAUACCCCGGUAGUCCAA
rnacentral:rRNA from 1 species